AUGCUACUUCCUCCGUCCAACAAAAGAUGUCUCAACUUUGACUAAGUUUGAAUGCAUCUAUACACCAAGUCAUGUCUAGAUACAUUCAAAUUUUGACAAAAUUGAAACAUCUUUUGUUGGAAGGAGGAAGUAGAAC
rfam:Brachypodium distachyon strain Bd21 chromosome 4, whole genome shotgun sequence.